UGAUGCCUUAAUAUAAUUACAUCUCACAGUAAAAAUAAAACUUAGCUAAUGUUUUGGAGAUUUUUGUUUAUUUCUAACCAAACUUUUCACUGUGGAUGUUAGCAAGAUAAACUCUGGAUUUCUUGCAGCCUAUCUUUAUGUUGCAGUUCAAACUCUUUUAAGCUUUUUUGAUGAUGCUUUAGCUGUAGAUAUUUGGGUCAUUAUAAUGGUAAAGGUUUCUCAAUAGCAAUAUUCAAGCCCAAUUUUUAGUUCAAUGAAAAUAUUUCUCUCUAAUAAAAGAGAAAAAUAUUACCCAUCACUAAAAAAAAAUGUCCAAUGGUUACUUAUAGCACAAACCACAAAUAUUAAUGAUAUUAAAUAGUAAUAAUACUUUAUUAAGUGUAUUUUUUGAAUAGCAAAGGGGACAAGAUAAGAGGGGUAUUGAUUCAAUGUUUUUGUAAGCAUUCUUCAUUUACAAUGUAAACAAUAUUCAGUGCAGGUUUAUGGUCUUUUUGUUCUUUAACUGUUUCUUACCCAAAUACGACAGCCUGCAGCUUGAUUUCGCUGCAUAAUUUCACGCCUCGGUAGGGGAGGGUCAGACUAAAGUGGCUGUCAGUUGGUGGCUAAUAUCAGAAUGAGUCAGCACUAUUCACUAUGUUUGGGUUCACAAACAAGGUCUCUGACUUUAGCUUAUCAUUACUCGUAACAUAAUCAGCAUAGCCAACAACAAAAUAAAACAAUUUGUACAAGUGGGCAUUUUUUGGCUGCAAAUGCAUAAAAAGAGGAAGGCAAGUUGUAGUUUUGCAAACACCUUAAGAGUUCUGGGAUAUUAUUUUCAUAGCACAGCAUAGUGUACGAAGUAUAAGAUCUAAACAGUUGAUUUUAUAUAAUGCUGUUUACUAUGUCACUGUUGCAGAUGUAGAAUUUUCAGUGACAUGCUGAGAUUGGAAAGUUUGAACCUUGAUCAUUGAGGUGAGCCUCUGCAUGUACUGUAGUGGACUGCGUUUCUGCAGCACUGAUAUGCGAAGUUGUACGCCAACUUGGGACAAUGAAAAUGGCUGAAUUAGGAUUAAUUCUGCACUAAAUAGUAUAUUUAAAACAUUUAAGAAUGUCUUUUGUAGGUUGAUUAUAUUUAAAUGUUUAUUCUAGCAAUCAUAGUAGAAAUGGAACAUGAACCAUGGAUCAACACAUAUCUUUUAUUUAAAUUUUCUCUUUCUUACUUCCUAUUUAUACACCUAAGAACCAUUUUUGUUCCUCUCUGGUCAACUUAAAAAAAUAAAAUAAAAAUCUAAUUAAGUUUAACUGCUUUUAUAGGUAUUUAUAACCUGAUUGUUUAAGAUUUGUUAAAAAAUGUACAUUUUAUUUGCCCCUAAAUUAUUUUAGUACAGGAAAAGAAUAACAUGUUAAUGCUUUUUAAUAACUGAUUUACCAGGGUUGCCAAUAAAUAUGUGGGGUGCUGUAAAUCACUUAUUCCUGCAUUUGAGUGCCUGAUUAGGUUUUAGAGGAGUUAUAUCUGUUUUUUUAUAUUAAGAUUAAAGCCUGUUUAGGAAAAAGGUAAUUUUUGGGAACCAUUGAUUUAAAAAAACAAUGCUGGUAGACAUUUCAGUUUAUCUUACUUUUUCCAUAUAGACUAGACUCUUUUUCAAAUAGCCAGAUGCUAUUACAGGCAGUAAACAAUAAAAUAUUAAUAUUUUGUUCUUGUUUCUCUUAGUUCAAACAACCUCAAACUUGAAACAAAAUGACCUUAAGCUAACCUUAAAAGUUUUGUGCUUGUUGAGUUUGUUCCAGUCAUUUCACAACACUUAAUGUUGUAAAUAAUUAUUAAAAAAUCUUAAAAAUUCUUAGGGUGGGAGAGGUAUUGCUAUUUAUUUCUAAGUUUAUAUUAAUACUGAUAUUUUUAGUCAGUGACUAAAACUGCGACGCUGCCGUGGCAGCAUGAGGAGUAUUUUUUUGUAAGGAAAGCCGCCUUUAUUUACAAAGGCCAUCACCCCGAACUUAAUAUUGUAUGUUUUUAUGGCCCGCACCUGUGCGUUAGUCUGUGCUGUCCUGUCUGAAUAAGACUUUCUUGUCCCGGGUUUCUUAAGUAGUUGUUUGCAGUGUGCAUCACAAGAGAAAAGAGACAUACUGAUCAUUGAGCUAAAAGGUUCCAGAGCGUUUUACAUUUUAUUGUAUUACAACCACAAGCUUGAUAUUAUUAUCUCUAAUAGACCAACACACUGGAGUGCACAAUUCAAAUUUUACUUUGUGUUUUUAAAAGCAAGGAUUUUAGAAGUCUGGCUUGCAUUAGUAUGCAGGCCACCUGAUUGAAACAUUUUUAAAAAACCUUGUGCUGUUACAGCUUUCCAUAUGUCUCCACCGGUUUUUAACGUCUAAGGUAGAACUAUUUUGUCAUUGUUUUUUUUAGCAUGGCUCAAACUAACCCAGAUUAGACAUGAAGCAUCUCUUAGCAUUUUUCAAGUUAUUCCACAGAUUCCUAAUUAGAUAUAGACUUGAGCUUGUCCUACUGGUAGGAAAAAAUACAUCUCGCUUUUAACUUUCAUGCAGCCUGUUGUCUUUUUUUAUUAGAUUACUUUGCAUUUAGCACCAAUUUGAUCAAGUCUAACGAACUUCUUUUCUUUUCUUCUGUUACAAAGAAAGGCAUUGUCUAAGCAUGAUGCUACUCCACCAUGUGUCACCAUGUUGUAUUUUGCAUAUGGUUUUAUUUUGGUCUCAUCUCACCUGCCUGCACCAUUGGCAUAAAACCUAAAAUGAACUUUUAAAAAUGGGUUCUUGUCGAUCUUUCAAAAUGAGCUGAAUUUGCACAGUUUCCCCCCACUUUGUGUUGGUCUAGUACAUGAUAUGCCAAACAAAACAUUAGAAUUUAAUGUUGUAAUGUGACAGACUUGGAAAAAGUUUAUGAAUCUUGCAAAGGACUACAUCUAGUGUAAACAGUGACUAGAAACUGUCUCUACAAAAAACACUCUGGAAUAUAUGUGGCUCAAAGGAGAAACUGUGCUUUUUGGUGUUGUUUCUGAAUGGCAUUCAAUGGUUGUAGUUUUCAUGCUGUAACAAAAAAAGUGGAAUUUCAUAUAUUGUAUCUUUAGUGCAAAAACAACUAAUAAUUUAUUAGACUUGAUCUAUGGCACCUUGUCAGCUGUGUUCACAUUUAAAGUAAAUUUUCUCUCAUCAAGACAAUCUCUGGACAUUUAAAUCGACCUAAUCACACCCAGGUUGGCAACUAGACCUGAACGAGGAGUUUGGGCACAUAUUUGCUUUACCUUGAAAUCGGUGUCAUCUGAAGCCAAUUAGGUUUUCAAUCUGUGAUUGUCAGCAUUGUUUAGUCAUCACAGCAGCUAAAUGAGAGGUUUUGCACAGUCUAAUGAAGAGACAUUACUGUUCAUUAAUGUCAAGUUCACCUUGCCUCUCUGUCAGAUGGGAGGAUUAUAACUGCUGUCCCUCUUUCCCUUUCAAAUCUACUCUAUUUCUGAGGUUAAACAUCACUGAUAGUACCACCUUAUUCCAAACAGUCACAUUACGCAGUACUUAUUAUGGUGUAAGCUCAAUUAAAGGUUUGACUUAAAUGAUUUAAUUGUAACUAAAUGUGAAAGUCAUAUUUUGUAACAAGGGAUUAACAAAUGAAGAUGUACUGUACAUAGGUAUUUUGUAUGGACAUAUUGUUUAGAAAGGAAACCAUUCUUGUAAAUACAGAGGUGAUAAAUUGACAUUUUUAAGAGGUCAAAAUGAGUGAAUUUAGUGUUUUAUCAAUGAGAAGACAUGACCUGUUUCAGUAUUUUGGACUGCUGUGACAGCAACCGUUUCCUUUCGGUGUCCCAGAGAAUCCAGAUUGUUGUUGUUCUUGCUGGAAUGUAACGUUGAGCAUCAGUUGCACAAAGUUCUCUGAUUCAUGAUCCCCUACUGUUUUAUUUAGAGAGGCUCCCUGUGCCUUAGCUGAUUUUUAGAACCUUCUCUGUCCAUAAAAGCCAAUCUUUUUCUUUUUUUUUUCUCUUCUUUUUCUUUUGACCUUAUGUGAAGAAAGCCAUGAGUCUGUGAAGUGAUCCAUUGGUACUCUGACACCAAAAUGAUGUCUGCUGUUGUAUAUAUCAUCAGGCCUUCUUUUGCUGUUAUCAGCUUCUUUUCUUUUCUUUUUUCUUUAUUUUUUGUUAUUCUCUUUUGAGGAAUUUGUUUUGUCGAACUGGCUUGUUUUACUUUUCUCUGACUACUUUUUGGAAAUAAAAUCUUGCAAAAAAA